rnacentral:rRNA from 1 species
CCUACGGGUGGCAGCAGUGAGGAAUAUUGGUCAAUGGACGAGAGUCUGAACCAGCCAAGUAGCGUGAAGGAUGACUGCCCUAUGGGUUGUAAACUUCUUUUAUAUGGGAAUAAAAUGUUGCACGUGUGGGAUUUUGUAUGUACCAUAUGAAUAAGGAUCGGCUAACUCCGUGCCAGCAGCCGCGGUAAUACGGAGUAUCCGAGCGUUAUCCGGAUUUAUUGGGUGUAAAGGGAGCGUAGGUGGAUUGUUAAGUCAGUUGUGAAAGUUUGCGGCUCAACCGUAAAAUUGCAGUUGAAACUGGCAGUCUUGAGUACAGUAGAGGUGGGCGGAAUUCGUGGUGUAGCGGUGAAAUGCUUAGAUAUCACGAAGAACUCCGAUUGCGAAGGCAGUUCACUGGACUGCAACUGACACUGAGGCUCGAAAGUGUGGGUAUCAAACAGGAUUAGAUACCCUGGUAGUC